rnacentral:rRNA from 1 species
UACGUAGGGUCCGAGCGUUGUCCGGAGUUACUGGGCGUAAAGCGCGCGCAGGCGGCUUCAUAAGUCUGGCGUGAAAGCCCCCGGCUCAACCGGGGAGGGUCGUCGGAGACUGUGGAGCUUGAGGGCGGUAGGGGCUGGUGGAAUUCCCGGUGUAGUGGUGAAAUGCGUAGAGAUCGGGAGGAACACCCGUGGCGAAGGCGGCCAGCUGGGCCGACCCUGACGCUGAGGCGCGAAGGCGUGGGGAGCGAACGGG